rnacentral:rRNA from 1 species
ACUCCUACGGGAGGCAGCAGUGGGGAAUAUUGCACAAUGGGCGCAAGCCUGAUGCAGCCAUGCCGCGUGUGUGAAGAAGGCCUCGGUUGUAAAGCACUUUCAGUCGUGAGGAAGGUAGUGUAGUUAAUAGCUGCAUUAUUUGUACGUUAGUCGACAGAAGAAGCACCGGCUAACUCCGUGCCAGCAGCCGCGGUAAUACGGAGGGUGCGAGCGUUAAUCGGAAUUACUGGGCGUAAAGCGCAUGCAGGUGGUUUGUUAAGUCAGAUGUGAAAGCCCGGGGCUCAACCUCGGAAUAGCAUUUGAAACUGGCAGACUAGAGUACUGUAGAGGGGGUAGAAUUUCAGGUGUAGCGGUGAAAUGCGUAGAGAUCUGAAGGAAUACCGGUGGCGAAGGCGGCCCCCUGGACAGAUACUGACACUCAGAUGCGAAAGCGUGGGGAGCAAACAGGAUUAGAU